rnacentral:rRNA from 1 species
GCUUAACACAUGCAAGUCGAGCGGUAACAGAGAUAGCUUGCUAUCUGCUGACGAGCGGCGGACGGGUGAGUAACGCGUAGGAGACUACCCGGUAGUGGGGGACAACAGUUGGAAACGACUGCUAAUACCGCAUACGCUCUACGGAGGAAAGGGGGCUUCGGCUCUCGCUAUCGGAUGUGCCUGCGUUGGAUUAGCUAGUUGGUGGGGUAAAGGCCUACCAAGGCGACGAUCCAUAGCUGGUCUGAGAGGAUGAUCAGCCACACUGGGACUGAGACACGGCCCAGACUCCUACGGGAGGCAGCAGUGGGGAAUAUUGGACAAUGGGGGCAACCCUGAUCCAGCAAUGCCGCGUGUGUGAAGAAGGCCUGCGGGUUGUAAAGCACUUUCAGUAGCCAAGAUGGGAUUAAGUGUUAAUACCACUUAAUCUUGACAUUAACUACAGAAGAAGCACCGGCUAACUCCGUGCCAGCAGCCGCGGUAAUACGGAGGGUGCGAGCGUUAAUCGGAAUUACUGGGCGUAAAGCGCACGCAGGCGGUUUGUUAAGCUAGAUGUGAAAGCCCCGGGCUCAACCUGGGAUGGUCAUUUAGAACUGGCAGACUAGAGUCUUGGAGAGGGGAGUGGAAUUCCAGGUGUAGCGGUGAAAUGCGUAGAGAUCUGGAGGAACAUCAGUGGCGAAGGCGACUCCCUGGCCAAAGACUGACGCUCAUGUGCGAAAGUGUGGGUAGCGAACAGGAUUAGAUACCCUGGUAGUCCACACCGUAAACGCUGUCUACUAGCUGUUUGUGACUUUAAGUCGUGAGUAGCGAAGCUAACGCGCUAAGUAGACCGCCUGGGGAGUACGGCCGCAAGGUUAAAACUCAAAUGAAUUGACGGGGGCCCGCACAAGCGGUGGAGCAUGUGGUUUAAUUCGAUGCAACGCGAAGAACCUUACCUACUCUUGACAUCCAGAGAACUUAGCAGAGAUGCUUUGGUGCCUUCGGGAACUCUGAGACAGGUGCUGCAUGGCUGUCGUCAGCUCGUGUUGUGAAAUGUUGGGUUAAGUCCCGCAACGAGCGCAACCCUUAUCCUUAGUUGCUAACAGUUAGGCUGAGAACUCUAAGGAGACUGCCGGUGACAAACCGGAG